rnacentral:rRNA from 1 species
UACGUAGGGUGCAAGCGUUGUCCGGAAUUAUUGGGCGUAAAGAGCUCGUAGGCGGUCUGUUGCGUCGGCUGUGAAAACCCGGGGCUCAACUCCGGGCCUGCAGCCGAUACGGGCAGACUAGAGUUCGGCAGGGGAGACUGGAAUUCCUGGUGUAGCGGUGAAAAUGCGCAGAUAUCAGGAGGAACACCGGUGGCGAAGGCGGGUCUCUGGGCCGAUACUGACGUGAGGAGCGAAAAGCGUGGGGGAGCGAACAGG